GACGAACGCUGGCGACGUGCUUAACACAUGCAAGUCGAACGGAAAGGCCCUGCUUUUGUGGGGUGCUCGAGUGGCGAACGGGUGAGUAACACGUGAGUAACCUGCCCUUGACUUUGGGAUAACUUCAGGAAACUGGGGCUAAUACCGGAUAGGAGCUCCUGCUGCAUGGUGGGGGUUGGAAAGUUUCGGCGGUUGGGGAUGGACUCGCGGCUUAUCAGCUUGUUGGUGGGGUAGUGGCUUACCAAAGCUUUGACGGGUAGCCGGCCUGAGAGGGUGACCGGCCACAUUGGGACUGAGAUACGGCCCAGACUCCUACGGGAGGCAGCAGUGGGGAAUAUUGCACAAUGGGCGGAAGCCUGAUGCAGCAACGCCGCGUGCGGGAUGACGGCCUUCGGGUUGUAAACCGCUUUCGCCUGUGACGAAGCGUGAGUGACGGUAAUGGGUAAAGAAGCACCGGCUAACUACGUG
rnacentral:rRNA from 1 species